CGUGUUUGAAACAUGCACCACGUAUUGAACAGCAGCAACGGUAAGGUGCCAUCUGGUCUUGUUGUGGCAUUCUACCUAAUCCAAAUAGUUAAUACUUCUGUCGGGUUGUUUUCCAUCGCUAGCGUGUCGUCAUGAAAAAUUCUCUCCUUUUUCUCUCUAACCUCCACGUAUAGUUUGGUGGAAAACGUGAAUCGUAUGAUUAUGACACUGUUUUAGACCUCCCUAGAGAUGUUUAAACUAAAAUAGGGUUCUACGUCCACAUUUAUAAUAAAUCGUUUGAUAGGGGCGU
rnacentral:lncRNA from 1 species